CAGGCUUCACUAGAUGAAGGCACUGACCCUGUCCUUUCUCGGUGCAUGAGCAAGGAUUGCAGCAAUUUACUCAGCUUUCACUCAGUCAAACGCCCACUGAGCUCAAGGAACGUUUUGCCUGAGAGAAGUGACUGAGUCACAUCCUCAGGACCCGGCCGCUAUUGCAGAGACAGGCUGCGUGGCCACGUUCGGAGACAGGGUUUCCCUUCGGGCCCACCUGUAAUUAAUGGAAGAGGCAAACCCAACUGGAUCACUCAAUGGGUUAGCGCCGCGGGUUCGCGGGUGGCUAGAUCUGUGCGUUCCCGCGGUAUGUCUUCCUGCAGGGAAGCCGGUAUGCCUAGGAGUGUCCACAUGCUCGGUCUAGGGCACAGUGCUGAUCUCUCUGCUUAGCCUUGUCUACACAAGAACAUUGCACCGCUGAAACGUACACUUGUGCGAUUGAACUGGUGGAAGUUGCAAGGAGGCAGUGGGUUCACACUAGCCCUCCUGCCUUGGGUCCACACGUCCAUUCCCAGCACUGCCUGCAAACCUUUCAGCAGCACCGCGCUGUGAGUACUUAGUAUCCCGCGUUCUGCGGAAGCAGAUGUACUGCUGGCAGUGCGGUAAUGAAUCCCUUCAGACACUGCCAAGUGCUGUGAUAAUAUACACGGGUUGGGAUCCGAUUUUAUCCCGGGAACUGUGAUGCCCUGCCAGGUGGGAGGAACAGCCGGUGCUGCCUCUCCCAUUUCACCACCAGGAGCAGCUGAGGUAGCUCCUGGGAAUGCAAGCGCAGAACCUCAGCCAGCUCGGGUAUCCAGGAGAUGCUUCUCCACCAGCUGCCCAAGUGAGGCCCCAGCAAGACUGCAAGCUCUUUGGGGCUGGAACAUUUCUUCGGUACAUGUUUGUAAGCUGCCUAGCACAACAGUGUCCUGGCCUCUAAGUGCUACUACAAUACAGUAUCCUGUUUGCAGCGUACUUCUGUGCCAAGGCAAACUGAUCUCCAAGCGGAGGUAUCCAUCCUUCUUUCAGAUCCUGUCAGCAGAUGUCAUGCAUACUAGUGUGAGUGAAAAAAUAAUUCUAACCCCUUGA
rnacentral:lncRNA from 1 species